CGGAAGGUCCGGGCGUUAUCCGGAUUUAUUGGGUUUAAAGGGAGCGUAGGCCGGAGAUUAAGCGUGUUGUGAAAUGUAGACGCUCAACGUCUGCACUGCAGCGCGAACUGGUUUCCUUGAGUACGCACAAAGUGGGCGGAAUUCGUGGUGUAGCGGUGAAAUGCUUAGAUAUCACGAAGAACUCCGAUUGCGAAGGCAGCUCACUGAGCGCAACUGACGCUGAAGCUCGAAAGUGCGGGUAUCGA
rnacentral:rRNA from 1 species